UCUCUCUCCCAUUUCUUCUCACUCUUUCUCCAUUUUCACACACAAACUACCAUUCUUUUUUGCUUCACUUCUCCUACACAAUUAGUUCUUCUCUAUUUUCUAUUUUUCAUUAUACUGCUUAAUUUAGCUAGACAUUUCAUCCCAAAAAUUUUAAUCUUUUGUUUUUAUUUUCUUUUGUAGAGGUUUGAAGUUUUCAUCGUUGAGAAAGCAAACGACCGAGAGAAUGAUCGAAAAAAGAUUUUUUGUUGCUAGAUAAGAGGGAAAGCAUAAAUGUACUGCAGCUUCUAUAAAUAUUAGAAAGGAGCAAGAGACCUGACAUCGAUGAAGAGUUUGUAGUGCAGCCAUAAUGGAAGAGUGAUUCGAAAUUCAUUUGCAAAGUUUUGUUUUUUCAAUACAGAUGUUUGUAAGUUCUCUCUAUAUCUUUUUGUGGUUGUCUUAGUUUCUUGAAUUCAUUCAUGAGGAAUUUUUUUGUUAAACAA